rnacentral:rRNA from 1 species
AUUGAACGCUGGCGGCAGGCCUAACACAUGCAAGUCGAGCGAGCGGCGGACGGGUGAGUAAUGUAUGGGGACUGCCCGAUAGAGGGGGAUAACUACUGGCAACGGUGGCUAAUACCGCAUACUAUCGGAUAACCCAUAUGGGAUUAGCUAGUAGGUGGGGUAAAGGCUCACCUAGGCGACGAUCUCUAGCUGGUCUGAGCGGAGGAUCAGCCACACUGGGAUGGAGAAACGGCCCAGCCUCCUACGGAGGCAGCGGUGGGGAAUAUUGGAAAAUGGGCGCAAGCCUGAUGCAGAAAUGCCGGGGGUAGGAAGAAGGCUUUAGGGUGGUAAAGUACUUUCAGCGGGGAGGCGUUACCCGCAGAAGAAGCACCGGCUAACUCCGUGCCAGCAGCCGCGGUAAUAC